GCGUCACCGGUCGGCUGGAGUUUGGCUUCUUCUUCUCCGCGGGUUUCAGGAUCUGUCGAAAAAAAAGGAGAAGGGACACAAAACGGCCAGCAAAAUGGACGACAGAAGGCAGGAGAACUUCAUGUACAAGUCACCUGGAGAAUCUGCCCUCCUGAUAGAUUGACUGGGGAAGGUUGUUCCUCCACUUGGGGAUGAAGACACAGGACAGCCAGGGCCGUGAGGAGAGACUGCAGGGUGCUCAGAGAGACUGCAAGGAGCUCAGGGAGACUGCCGGGUGCUCAGAGACACGGGACAGCCAGCUGGUGAGAUGUGGCAUGUGAUGUCAUCACAGAGUGAAGACAGGAAGGGGCAGUACCAUUCACAGGUAUGCCUGUGUCAGUGAUAUGAAAUGAGU